CGGACGGGUGAGUAACGCGUGGGUAACCUGCCUCACACAGGGGGAUAACAGUUGGAAACGACCGCUAAUACCGCAUAACCCGCCGGUAUCGCAUGAUACUGACGGAAAAGAUUUUAUCGGUGUGAGAUGGACCCGCGUCUGAUUAGCCAGUUGGCAGGGUAACGGCCUACCAAGACGACGAUCAGUAGCCGGACUGAGAGGUUGGCCGGCCACAUUGGGACUGAGACACGGCCCAGACUCCUACGGGAGGCAGCAG
rnacentral:rRNA from 1 species